GGCGUGAUGGCCGAUCAGUUAGGCAGGGGUCUGCAAAACCCCGCAGACGGGUGCAACUCCCGUUCACGCCU
rnacentral:tRNA from 1 species